UCCAUCCGGACUAACCGGAUCAAC
rnacentral:snRNA from 1 species